rnacentral:rRNA from 1 species
AUUGAACGCUGGCGGCAGGCUUAACACAUGCAAGUCGAGCGGAGAUGAGGUGCUUGCACCUUAUCUUAGCGGCGGACGGGUGAGUAAUGCUUAGGAAUCUGCCUAUUAGUGGGGGACAACAUUCUGAAAGGAAUGCUAAUACCGCAUACGCCCUACGGGGGAAAGCAGGGGAUCUUCGGACCUUGCGCUAAUAGGUUAGCCUAGGUCGGAUUAGCUAGUUGGUGGGGUAAAGGCCUACCAAGGCGACGAUCUGUAGCGGGUCUGAGAGGAUGAUCCGCCACACUGGGACUGAGACACGGCCCAGACUCCUACGGGAGGCAGCAGUGGGGAAUAUUGGACAAUGGGCGGAAGCCUGAUCCAGCCAUGCCGCGUGUGUGAAGAAGGCCUUUUGGUUGUAAAGCACUUUAAGCGAGGAGGAGGCUACCUGGAUUAAUACUCUAGGAUAGUGGACGUUACUCGCAGAAUAAGCACCGGCUAACUCUGUGCCAGCCGCCGCAGUAAGAC